AUUGAACGCUGGCGGCAUGCUUUACACAUGCAAGUCGAACGGCAGCACAGCAGAGGUAACUCUGUGGGUGGCGAGUGGCGAACGGGUGAGUAAUACAUCGGAACGUACCCUGUUGUGGGGGAUAACUACGCGGAAGCGUAGCUAAUACCGCAUACGCCCUGAGGGGGAAAGCGGGGGACCCUAAAUAGAGCGCACUGGGGAGUGCGUUGUAUUUAGGGCCUCGCGCAAUAGGAGCGGCCGAUGUCGGAUUAGCUAGUUGGUGAGGUAAAGGCUUACCAAGGCGACGAUCCGUAGCUGGUCUGAGAGGAUGAUCAGCCACACUGGGGACUGAGACACGGCCCAGACUCCUACGGGAGGCAGGCAGUGGGGAAUUUUGGACAAUGGGGCAAACCCCUGGAUCCACGCCAUGCCGCGUGAGUGAAGAAGGCCU
rnacentral:rRNA from 1 species